rnacentral:rRNA from 1 species
AGUGAACGCUGGCGGUAGGCCUAACACAUGCAAGUCGAACGGCAGCACAGUAAAAGCUUGCUCGUACGGGUGGCGAGUGGAGGACGGGUGAGGAGUACAUCGGAAUCUACUUUAUCGUGGGGGAUAACGGAGGGAAACUUACGCUAAUACCGCAUACGACCUACGGGUGAAAGCAGGGGAUCUUCGGACCUUGCGCGAUUGAAUGAGCCGAUGUCGGAUUAGCUAGUUGGCGGGGUAAAGGCCAACCAAGGCGACGAUACGUAGCUGGUCUGAGAGGAUGAUCAGCCACACUGGAACUGAGACACGGUCCAGCCUCCUACGGGAGGCAGCAGUGGCGAAUAUUGGACAAUGGGCGCAAUCCUGAUCCAGCCAUACCGCGUGGGUGAAGAAGGCCUUCGGGUUGUAAAGCCUUUUUGUCGGGAAAGAAAAGCAGCAGGUUAAUACCCCGCUGUUCUGACGGUACCAAACGAAUAAGCACCGGCUAACUUCGUG